rnacentral:rRNA from 1 species
CCCAGACUCCUACGGGAGGCAGCAGUGGGGAAUAUUGCACAAUGGGGGAAACCCUGAUGCAGCGACGCCGCGUGAGCGAUGAAGUAUUUCGGUAUAUAAAGCUCUAUCAGCAGGGAAGAAGAUGACGGUACCUGACUAAGAAGCCCCGGCUAACUACGUGCCAGCAGCCGCGGUAAUACGUAGGGGGCAAGCGUUAUCCGGAUUUACUGGGUGUAAAGGGAGCGUAGACGGCGAUGCAAGCCAGAUGUGAAAGCCCGGGGCUCAACCCCGGGACUGCAUUUGGAACUGUGUGGCUGGAGCGUCGGAGAGGCAGGCGGAAUUCCUAGUGUAGCGGUGAAAUGCGUAGAUAUUAGGAGGAACACCAGUGGCGAAGGCGGUCUGCUGGACAGCAACUGACGCUGCGGCGCGAAAGCGUGGGGAGCAAACAGGAUUAGAUACCCUGGUAGUA